rnacentral:lncRNA from 1 species
CCUCUGCUCUUCUGCAUCUUAGGUUGUGAUCUGCUUCCUGGGUUCACAUGGUUCAUCUGUGCUUAAGCAAGCACUAGCCACUAGGUUUUCUUUCUUCUGGACCUGAUCCUAUGCUCAGUGAAGGUGAUGAAAAUAUUUCCAUUUUGUUCAAAACACUUGACAAGAUGACUGAGGCACAAGUUCAAGUUAACAGAAAAUAGAACAUCACUGUCCUCCCAGCUCCCUGAACUCAACAAGAUCUC